rnacentral:rRNA from 1 species
UACGUAGGGUGCGAGCGUUAAUCGGAAUUACUGGGCGUAAAGCGUGCGCAGGCGGUUUUGUAAGACGGGUGUGAAAUCCCCGGGCUUAACCUGGGAACUGCGCUUGUGACUGCAAGACUCGAGUACGGCAGAGGGGGGUGGAAUUCCACGUGUAGCAGUGAAAUGCGUAGAGAUGUGGAGGAACACCGAUGGCGAAGGCAGCCCCCUGGGCUGAGAUUGACGCUCAGGCACGAAAGCGUGGGGAGCAAACAGG